rnacentral:rRNA from 1 species
UACGGAGGAUGCAAGCGUUAUCCGGAAUGAUUGGGCGUAAAGCGUCCGCAGGUGGCUAUGUAAGUCUGCUGUUAAAGAGUGAGGCUCAACCUCAUAAAAGCAGUGGAAACUACAUGGCUAGAGUGCGUUCGGGGCAGAGGGAAUUCCUGGUGUAGCGGUGGAAUGCGUAGAGAUCAGGAAGAACACCAGUGGCGAAGGCGCUCUGCUAGGCCGUAACUGACACUGAGGGACGAAAGCUAGGGGAGCGAAUGGG